rnacentral:rRNA from 1 species
UACGGGGGGGGCAAGCGUUGUUCGGAAUUACUGGGCGUAAAGGGCUCGUAGGCGGCCAACUAAGUCAGACGUGAAAUCCCUCGGCUUAACCGGGGAACUGCGUCUGAUACUGGAUGGCUUGAGUUCGGGAGAGGGAUGCGGAAUUCCAGGUGUAGCGGUGAAAUGCGUAGAUAUCGGGAGGGACACCGGUGGCGAAGGCGGUUCUCUGGGCCUUACCUGACGCUGAGGAGCGAAAGCGUGGGGAGCGAACAGG